AGUUGGUGAUCGACCAUUUGUGGUCCAGCAUGCACAAGUGAGUGGUGAAAGGCUGCAGAGCUGAUGGGUCGUGAGGAUGUAAGUGCGUUUGAAGGCUCUCACACUCUCUACUCCAGGAAUCAUGAAUAAUAAACUGGAGGACAAGCAGGACCAGAUGAUACCAUGAAGAGAAGUUUACAGGCCCUCUAUUGCCAACUGAUAAGAAGACCAGAAUAUGGUCAGUGAGGGAGAACGGUAAGUUUUUCCUCUCCUUCAUCUGGGUAUUUGUAGUAUCAAGCACUGAGUCGUUCUGUUGCUUUGGGCAUUAGUUACAGCACAUAUUUCCUGUAGACUUCGUUAUAAUUCUCCAUUGGCAUGUUAAGCGCAGUCAAUUUGAAAACGAGUGUCAAAAUGUUAUUACUGCUGGUUUUGUGGCAGAAUAAAGGGUGGUCCAGUCUGAUCCUCCCUGGGUUCCUCAUGAAGAGGGAAUGGUAGGCGGUGGGGUUCAGUCACAAGGAACCUGCUAGCAUUCAGAGACUCUAUAGCCUUUGACUCGGAGUGUUUUGCAUAGUUAGACAUGUUCUUAAGUAACAAGUGGUGAAAGUGUGGCUUGUUUAGGUUUGGUGGUAGAAUGGAGAGCGUUCCAUCAUGGUUUUCUCCACAUGUUGCUCAAGCGUUUGGGGGAUUGUGCCACAAAAUGCCAAUUUAGUGACUGUAUGACCUCUAGAGUUGAAUUGUUACUGAGUGAAUGUAAAAACCAAUACAUUUGGUGAGUUUGAUGUUCAGAUGGACCCAUUUGGGACAACAGACACUGGCCUCUCCAGAUCAGACAAAAGCCAUUGAGUUAGGAAAACAUAAAAUUCACUGAGCUUGUCGGAUUGUUGCUGAGAUAAACAGAGGAACUAUUUUUUUUUUUCUAGGCUGAAUGGCUCCUUGUUAACUUUUGCCAAGAAAAUAACAUGAAAAGAGAUUGAGAUGCAAAUCACCACUAAGCCCUUUGAAUUUAGUAAUUCAGGUUAUGUUGCACCUCCAGUGCAAAGCACUUUAUCUGCAGACAACAUUCUGGUUGGGUGUUUUAAUUGACUCAUUUUUUUUAUUGAAUUCUAAUCCCUGAAACACAGAUCACGUCAGCCUGAUUUUAGCCUGGUGGAAUGUUGCCAAGAGUUAUAGGGGCUCUCUCAUGUUCUUUCUCUAUGCGUUCUAUAGGGUUUGUUGCCUUUUUAAAAAAUCAUAAGCUUACUUGUUAGAGAAAGGGCUUUAUGGAUUGAAGAAUAAAUGUCAUCAAGGAAAAAUUAAUUCUGCCAAGAUGGGAGAGGGAACAUUUGAAGGAUAAGUAGGAUUACACACAUACAUACCCCCUCACCCUAAAGAGGGUGAAGCAAGUUUUGCAGGCAAAAGACACAAGAAAUGAAAAAGAGCAUAGUAUAUUUUAGAAUAUUUGUUGAAUUCACCUCUGCUGAUUAUAUGCCCCAAAGUUUGCAUAAUAUUUUAAGGUCAUGUAUUAUCUGAAAGGGAUUAGAAAAGUAUUCUGUGGUUUGGAGUCAAGUCUCAUGCUGUAACAAGGGCCAUCCUCCCAGGUUCAGUAUAACAGAAAGCUAAAGAGAUUUUCCUCAAACCUUGUCUGGAUAGCUGCAGAAAUCAACCUUGUCUUAACACUUUUAUUGUUUGCAAGCUUGUCUAGAAAUGCAGCAGCCUGGAGUAGAUAUUUUCUUGCUAGUUUAGGAGAUAAAUCAUUCUGGUUACUAGAUAGCUGUUUGUGGGCUGGAGCUCUGCUUUGUACAGCUCUGAGAAGGUGAGGAACUUGGGCACUACAUCAGUUAGUCUGACUUCAGGGAAUGGUUUUCACAAAUUCAUUGAGAUAAAGGGCUGCUAUUUGUAACAUUUUUUUUUCCUCAUGAGAGGAAUUAAAUAUUUGAUAAGGUCCUAGAUAACUUAAACUCCAGCAUACAUACACACGCAAUGUCAAAUAUGCCAUUGGUCAGUCGAUUGUUAAAUUACUCUUGGAUUAACAUUGUCCACUAACAGAAUUUUUUUAGUAAAAAAUAGACUUAAGAACUGCAGAAUCAACAUAAACUUAUUAUGUUACUUUAUGUAACUCCGCAAACUGGUGUUUUUAACUUGGGGGAAAAAAACUGAUGGAGUGUUCUGGUUAUCUUUUGUUGUGUAACAAAUCACCCCCAAACCUUGUAGCUUAGAAUAACAGCAAUCAUUUCUUUCACUCAUGAAUCUGCAAUUUGGGUACUCUUGCUCCACAGUGGCUGGGAUCUGAGCUAGAAUAAUUCUAACACCUGGGGCUGGUUCGCCAUCUUUUGUCCCUCAGGCCCUUCCCCAGGACAAAGUGGGGCUUCCUCACAGUGUAGUGGCCUUAGGGUGGUCAGAUGUCUUACAUGGCAGCUCACAGCCAUGAGGCCAGGGCAAAACCUGCAAGCUUCCUAAGAAUUAGGCUUAAGAAUCCCAGAACAAUACUUGAACCACAUUGUAUUGGUGAAGGAAGUCUCUAAAACCAAACCUGAUGCAAAGAGAAAGGGAUUGGACUCCACCCCUCAAAGGGAAGGACAGUAGGAGUUUGUGGUCCUCUUUAGUUUACUAGAGAGUGACUGUUUAAAAGGAGAAAACCCUGCAGUGGCUCCCCAGUGGAUGUGAGCCAGUCCACAAGCCUCAUCACUGAAGAACCUACUUCCUCUGAGUGCCUGCUGUGUUCACAGACUGCUGAUCUGUUCACCUGCAUCGUCUCACUCAUUCCAGAGGUAAAUGCUUCAAGAUGAAGAAGUGUGAGCGAUGAGUAAGUUAAGGACUGGCCCAGGGUGGCCAGUGAUGAGUGGAGGUGGAAUUCACACCCAGGCCUCUCGGACCUCUUUGUUUAUGCCUGUUUUUUCAUUCCACCUGGUGCCUCCCACACACACAGAAAACAAAUCAGCAGUGUGGCACCUCUGCUAUUGCUAGACAGGAGUAUUUCUAACCCACGAUGGGUAAAGUUUACAUCCUGUUAGUGAAAUCAGGUAAAGCUUAAAAAAAAAAAACAAAAAACAUCCAGGCUCUCUGGGGAUCUCUUGUCAUAGCCACCAGUCACUGGGGCUUCUGUGUGCCUGAUAGGGGCUCAGGGAUGCAGUCUUUGGCAGGCAGGGCAAUUGAGGUUUUAAUAUUUUACUUUUAUUACAACUGACUGUCUCUGCUUUUAUUUUAUUUCUUGGGCUACAUUCCACAGUGCAGUGCUGAGUGUUUCAUCCUGCCAGUUUUAGCCCUUUGGGAAGAUUUAGCACAUUUUAUACUAUACUUUGGGACACCUAAGAGCUUGAGGAUGAGGAGGGUUAUGAGAACCUUCAUGGUUAUAUAAAAAACAAAUGCUGCCUUUAUUUUUCCUUUUUAGACCUUAGUCUUUAAAGUAGGUAUGAAGCUAGUGACAGGAAUACCUGGAUUUUUGAGUUGCAAACCAGGGUUCUGGUGGUAUCCCAGCCACUUAGUAGCUAGCUUCUGUUAAAUUACUUAACCUCUUUGUGCUUCAUAUGUAAAAUGGGAUAUGGCCCACCCACUGAAUUAGGUGGGUAUUCAGUGAGCUAAUAUAGCAAAUAGAAGACCUACAAUAAACACCUGCGCCCUUAGUGGGCCUUCCCCAUUUGCAAGAGAAGAAUGUGCCUCCCCGGGAGCUCUACUAUAAUACUUGCAUGGGACUUUUUGGUUCAUAAAACGUUUUUGCAGAAUUUGAUCUUUACAAACCUCAUAAGUCAAGUAGGACAUAUAUUAUCAUUGAUCUCAUUCUACAGAGGAGGGAGUUGACAUGAUCAUGACUGCCUUUCCCAGGCCAUUUCACAAUUUUUUAAAAAGUAAUAAUGGGAGUUCCCAUCAUGGCUCAGCAGAAACAAAUCCCACAGGAACCAUGAGGUUAUGGGUUUGAUCCCUGGCCUUGCUCAGUGGGUUAAGGAUCUGGUGUUGCUGUGAGCUGUGGUGUAGGUCACAGGUGUGGCUUGGAUCCUGCAUUGCUGUGGCUGUGGUGUAGGCUGGCAGCUCUAGCUCCAAUUUGACCCCUAGCCUGGGAACUUCCAUAUGCCACAAGUGUGGCC
rnacentral:lncRNA from 1 species